UACGGAGGGUGCAAGCAUUAAUCGGAUUUAUUGGGCGUAAAGGGGGCGUAGGCGGAUGUGCAAGCCAGACGUGAAAUCCCGGGGCUCAACCCCGGAACGGCAUUUGGAACUACACAUCUAGAGGAUAGGCGGAGAAAACGGAAUUCCACAAGUAGCGGUGAAAUGCGUAGAUAUGUGGAAGAACACCGGUGGCGAAGGCGGUUUUCUAGCUUAUUCCUGACGCUGAGGCCCGAAAGCUAGGGGAGCAAACAGG
rnacentral:rRNA from 1 species